rnacentral:rRNA from 1 species
AGAGUUUGAUCCUGGCUCAGGAUUAACGCUAGCGGCAGGCAUAAUACAUGCAAGUUGAACGAGAUUAUUUUUAGCAAUAGAACUAGUUUAGUGGCGCACGGGUGCGUAACGCGUAUGCAACCUACCUUAAACAGGGGAAUAGCCUCUCGAAAGAGAGAUUAAUACCGCAUAACAUAUAUUUAGAGCAUUCUAGAUAUAUCAAACCUACGGGGGUUUAAGAUGGGCAUGCGUGACAUUAGCUAGUUGGUGAGGUAACGGCUCACCAAGGCAACGAUGUCUAGGGGGUCUGAGAGGAUGUCCCCCCACACUGGUACUGAGACACGGACCACACUCCUACGGGAGGCAGCAGUGAGGAAUAUUGGACAAUGGGUGAGAGCCUGAUCCACCCAUCCCGCGUGAAGGAUGACGGCCCUAUGGGUUGUAAACUUCUUUUGUAUAGGGAUAAACCUACUCUCGUGAGAGUAGCUGAAGGUACUAUACGAAUAAGCACCGGCUAACUCCGUGCCAGCAGCCGCGGUAAUACGGAGGAUCCAAGCGUUAUCCGGAAUCAUUGGGUUUAAAGGGUCCGUAGGCGGUCUUAUAAGUCAGUGGUGAAAGCCCAUCGCUCAACGAUGGAACUGCCAUUGAUACUGUAAGACUUGAAUACUUAGGAAGUAACUAGAAUAUGUAGUUGUAGCGGUGAAAUGCUUAGAUAUUACAUGGAAUACCAGUUGCGAAGGCAGGUUACUACUAAGUGAUUGACGCUGAUGGACGACGCGUGGAGGAGCGAACAUGAUUAGAUACCCUGUAGUCACGCGUAAACUAUGAGAGCUAGCGGUGGGAGGGAUCUACCCUCCAGUGCAGCAGCUAACGCAUUCAGCUCUCGGCUUGAGGAGUACGUCGCAGAUCAACUCAGUACUGACGGCGCAUGCGAUGGAUCAGUGGAAUUACUC